rnacentral:lncRNA from 1 species
AAAUUUCAUGAAGUUACUAGUAAUAAUUAUAUUUUUAGGUAAUUUUGUCCUGAACACUGGAAUAAGGACAUACAAAAAGACAUACGGAACAAAAGAAAAAUAUGACAGAGUUUGUCCUUGUGGGGCUCACUCAGAGCCCCCAGAGACAGAAAAUAUUAUUUGUUGUGUUCUUGCUCAUCUACCUUGUGACAAUGGUAGGUGACAUACUCAUUGUUGUAACUGUGGUGGUCAGCCCAACUUUGGAUGCCCCUAUGUACUUCUUCCUUGGGUACUUAUCAUUAAUGGAUGCUGUUUAGUCCUCAGGUGAAGCAGCUUGUUUUGGUUCCAUAUUUAUAUAAAAAUGAUCCAUUGAUCUUCCCAGAUGUUUAGAAUAUCUGAUAAUACCUCUGCUAUUUUCAAUACCCCCUUCUCAUGGCCUUCUAAAAAACAGCCAGGCUCUGCUUUUUAUAUGUAAAAUCAGCAUAAUCCAUAAUCUAUGAACUUCAAAUAUGCAAUGCAGAGCCUGAUAGCAAAUAUUUUGGAAUACACCAUUGUCACAAAAGAUAGACAGGUGUGGUGGUGCAUGUCUGUGGUUCCAGCUGCUCAGGAGGCUGAGGUUGGAGGAGUUUUUGAGCCCAGGAGGUCAAGACUGC